AACAUGAAUCGGAAAAAAAUCUAAGUGAGUCCCCUUGCGGCCCCUUUAAGCUUUCUAGUUAGUGAAAGUAGAAAAUACCUACAGCAGACGAUUCAGGCAAUGGUUUCCCAUUAUGUAACAGCCAGCUUGCAACAAAAGCCAAAGGAAGAAGGGAAAUAGAGUAAAUAGGGAUUUACAAAGCUUCUGAAUAGAGGUGAGAAUAAAACAUUACAUUCUGUACUUCCAAAAUGAUUUUUCACUUGAAAUUUCUAAAACUGACAAGCACAAUUUAGAAUUACUUGACCUUUUAUACUUCUAUUUCUAGUAGAAGAAAACUUUCAUUUCUGCAUAUAACUAAAGUUCUUUCCAUAUUCCACAACAGAUAGUGUUUAGAUGGUGUAAAAAAAAAAAAAAAGCCAAGUUAUUGAAACAUAAUUUUAUCAUCAUUUCUAUUACCUAAAAGCACAGGCUAUAACAGUACAAAGAAUAUCAUCUAACUUGUGGUAAAUAAAGAUUAAUUUUAACUUGGUUCACAUUAAGUAUUUUGCUGAAUACAAUAGAACACAUUCUUAAAAUUUAACCCCUCUCCCUAUAAAAAUGAUUUUACAUUGAUGUUGAACACCUGUUUCAUUUGAGUGAGUUUACUGAUGUUAUGUAUUAUGUACUGUAUGAAUUCUCCACAACCAAUUAAUGAUCCAGAUUGACUUUCCCUGCCAAGCUAUGAGCUGAUUAGUUCUUCGAUGGACUGUUACAAUCAUAAAGUGAAAAUUCAUUUAAUAUUGACUUCACUAAGACACACAGAAGACAAAUUGGCCCCUAACAAUAACAUUAUGGUCUUCAAAGCCAAAUGGAAAUGAAUUUCAGAUCUUGGACACCACUGCUUCUUCCCUUCUAUCACAGGAGUAAAAAAGUAAAAAGUAAAUGUCGCUCAGAUCAGAUCAGUCGCUCAGUCGUGUCUGACUCUUUGCGACCCCAUGAAUCGCAGCAUGCCAGGCCUCCCUGUCCAUCACCAACUCCUGGAGUUCUCUCAGAC
rnacentral:lncRNA from 1 species